UGAAAACAAGGACAACGUAGGUAAUUUGUAUAUAAAUCUGGUGUAAACAGUUCAGACAAUUUUUUACGUUUGUGUGAUUUUUAGGAUUUUUUCUACUCUACGCAAAAGUUUCUAUUUUUCAACAAGAUUAAAGCAACUAACACCCCACAUGAUCCCAAAGGCUUUACUUGGAACAUAAACUAAAUAAAACAUAAAAAUACAAUCAUAACAGUCGCAUAAUUUUGCAAACACUCAAGAACAGAGAACAAAAGUAAAAAA
rnacentral:lncRNA from 1 species